GAGGGGUGGGCGAGCCUUGCGGGUCUUGCUGACUCAAGCUCCAGUGCGCUGAGCCCCCUGCUGGGCUUGCCACGCUUUCUUUUGAAGCUCCUUGGAUUUGGGGCGACUCCUGCGACCUCCUGGAGCACGACCCGGAGGCCUCCACCCUCCCGUCUGCCUCUGUUUCCUUGCAUUUAAAGGGUCUCAUGGAGGGGUCACAGGUAAAUGUUGCUAGCAAUACUACUGGUGAGCGAAAACACAUACGAGAAAUGAUCAGAUAUGAGCCCUCACCUACUGCUCCAGUGCCUGCCUGCCUAUUGCCAUGCUUCCACUAUGACGAUCAUGGACUAACCCUCUGAAACUGGCAUCUAGUUUCUUGGGACACGUUUGAUCUCCAUUGGCAGGACAUCUAAUUUCUUCUUCUCAUCCCUUUGUGCACAACUACCUGACAAACUGCGACCAGCAACAUCCAGCCACCAAAUAGACACCAGCCCGUCAGAGUUCUAGCAUUUCUAUAUCCGCUGAAAAGUUCCCAGAAUUCUUUCUGAUCAAGUCCAAGCAGAAAACAAAAACUACAUAGCAUCAAAAAUGUGAUCAAAGACCCAAAUGGAAAAGGAAAUUGUUUUGAAUGUUGAACUGUGAGUUAGAAGACAAGAUUUAACUGAAAUAUAUGAAAGUGCCUAUAGUCAAGUUGAACAAUAAAAUCACCA